rnacentral:rRNA from 1 species
GACGAACGCUGGCGGCGUGCCUAAUACAUGCAAGUUGAGCGCUGAAGGUUGGUACUUGUACCGACUGGAUGAGCAGCGCACGGGUGAGUAACGCGUGGGGAAUCUGCCUUUGAGCGGGGGACAACAUUUGGAAACGAAUGCUAAUACCGCAUAAAAACUUUAAACACAAGUUUUAAGUUUGAAAGAUGCAAUUGCAUCACUCAAAGAUGAUCCCGCGUUGUAUUAGCUAGUUGGUGAGGUAAAGGCUCACCAAGGCGAUGAUACAUAGCCGACCUGAGAGGGUGAUCGGCCACAUUGGGACUGAGACACGGCCCAAACUCCUACGGGAGGCAGCAGUAGGGAAUCUUCGGCAAUGGACGAAAGUCUGACCGAGCAACGCCGCGUGAGUGAAGAAGGUUUUCGGAUCGUAAAACUCUGUUGGUAGAGAAGAACGGUGGUGGGAGUGGAAAGCUCAUCAAGUGACGGUAACUACCCAGAAAGGGACGGCUAACUACGUG